rnacentral:tRNA from 1 species
GGCCCUAUCGUCUAGUGGUUUAGGACGUCUGCUUCUCAGGCAGGAAACACCGGUUCAAAUCCGGUUGGGGCCGCCA